rnacentral:rRNA from 1 species
GACGGAGGAUGCAAGCGUUAUCCGGAAUGAUUGGGCGUAAAGCGUCUGCAGGUGGCAGUUCAAGUCUGCUGUCAAAGACCGGGGCUUAACUUCGGAAAGGCAGUGGAAACUGAACAGCUAGAGUAUGGUAGGGGCAGAGGGAAUUCCUGGUGUAGCGGUGAAAUGCGCAGAUAUCAGGAGGAACACCGAUGGCGAAGGCAGCUCGCUGGGACGGUACUGACGC